UGGGGAAUUUUGGACAAUGGACGCAAGUCUGAUCCAGCCAUGCCGCGUGCGGGAAGAAGGCCUUCGGGUUGUAAACCGCUUUUGUCAGGGAAGAAACGGGUUUCUCUAAUAAAGAGGCCUAAUGACGGUACCUGAAGAAUAAGCACCGGCUAACUACGUGCCAGCAGCCGCGGUAAUACGUAGGGUGCAAGCGUUAAUCGGAAUUACUGGGCGUAAAGCGUGCGCAGGCGGUGAUGCAAGACAGAGGUGAAAUCCCCGGGCUCAACCUGGGAACUGCCUUUGUGACUGCAUCGCUAGAGUACGGUAGAGGGGGAUGGAAUUCCGCGUGUAGCAGUGAAAUGCGUAGAUAUGCGGAGGAACACCGAUGGCGAAGGCAAUCCCCUGGACCUGUACUGACGCUCAUGCACGAAAGCGUGGGGAGCAAACAGG
rnacentral:rRNA from 1 species